ACUUGCCCAGGGUCAUACAGCAAGUAAGUGUCUGAAGCACGAUUUGAACUCUGGUCUCCUGACUCCAAGCCCAAUACUCAACCCUUACCCUAUCUGACUGCCUUAAUGAUUCUUGGAGGGAUGGGAGAAGAUGGAGUCAGAGACUGCUCCAAGGUGACAAACUUGGGAUUAAUGAAUGGUUCUGCCCCCUGGGGAAAGUGAUCGAGAGUACAGGAGAAGUCCAGUAACCUCCCCCGACCCACGAGCAUCUACUGGCACAGAUCUCUUACAGAUGAGAAACCUGAGGCUGGAAGAGGUGCUGUGAUCUGCCCAGAGUAACAUAAGAACCUCACACAAGGCCUGACCCAAAGGAAAAGCUUAUGAAAUGCAUAUGGACUGAAAUCCCUGCACAAUAUUCCUGAGACCCAAGGCUCAUCACCCUAAGCGGCUUUAGUACAAAGACUAAAACAUGGUCAGGAAGGAAGAGUCCAGCUGAUCCAGCCAACUGCUUCCAACUCCAUGACAAACAGGAUAAAUCUAUUCCCUCUUCUAUGGGACAACUCUCCAAAUACUCAGAAGGAAGUUAUCAGACUCUCCCUAAGCCACUUCUUUACCUCCAUUUCAUCAUUGGAGAAAUGAAGGGAUAGAAGCAGAUAGUUGGCCUUUCUUUGCAGCCGCAGUGCUUGGCGAAUAUGAAACACAUGAUAGGUGCUUUUUGACUCAACUUGACUGAAUGGAUUCUCAAGACCCUUCUUGUUCUAAAUCCUGCAGUUCCUGUAGAAGUUGACUGGCUUCUUUGGGAUGAGAACCUCCAGCAUGGCCUUCAUUAACACGAAGCCACUGAGCUAACCCACCACAGAAUAUUUUUCACCCUAAAUUAAAAGGUGUGAAUGUCAACCCAACCAUGACAACAGAUGAUUCCUUCUUGCAUAUAUUUUCACCCAAGGAACUUUUCAGGAUCUCUGAGAAACACCUAAUAAACACUGAAUGAUAUAAACCCUCCAGAGUUGGCCUUCUUAAUCUCUUCUGCACACAAAGGAAAAAGCAUCUUCAGUCAAACUCUUCAAAGCAGCCCCUGAGCUCCAGCCUAGCUGUGACCCCAGAUCAAGGACAACUCACCC